UCUGGAAGUCCUGGGGUCACACUCUCAGUUUCCAGUAAGUAGGUGUGUUCAUGGUUCUAAUGUGUAUACAGUCAUGUUGGUGAUGAUGAGAAAUAAUGUUCUGUUCCCUUCAGCUCUGCAGGUAGUGAUGAGUCUACUACAGUGAAAGAGAGACAGAGGGUGACACUGACCUGCAACCACAUCCAACCAUGUCCUGCACAUGUCAACCCCACCUACAUCUGGAACAAACCUGUUACCAGCCAACCGACAAUCAGUGGCAACACACUGACUCUAACCUCAGUGAGUAAGAGAGACAAAGGCAGUUACUCCUGUGCUCUGAAAGGACAUGAGGAUCAUCCUUCACCUUCAGUGUGUGUUCUAGGUUGCUGGAGUGUGACCUACACUCCUCAGAGUAUCUGUGCCAUGAGGGGAUCAUCAGUGACUAUGGGCUGCUCUUACUCAUAUCCAAAUAAUAUGCAACAGUGACUGAAACAUUCUGGCAUGAACCAGGGACAUGGGAAGAUUUAAGCAAGAAGACGAAAUAUAAGGAUCGUGUCAAGUUCCUUGGAAACAAAGAGAAUGACUGCAGCAUGAAGAUGGAAGGUCUUAGAGAGAGUGACUCUGGAGAAUAUAAGUUUAGGAUUAUAACAAAUCUUUCCGUUUGGGUGUACUCUGGAAGUCCUGGGGUCACACUCUCAGUUUUUAGUAAGUAUUUGUGUUCAUGGUUCUAAUGUGUAUACAGUCAUGUUGGUGAUGAUGAGAAAUAAUGUUCUGUUCCCUUCAGCUCUGCAGGUAGUGAUGAGUCCUACUGCAGUGACAGAGGGACAGAGUGUGACACUGACCUGCAACCCCUCGUGUCCUGCACAUGUCAACCCCACCUACAUCUGGUACCAGGACAGAAAGCUUGUUUCCAACCAACACACAAUGAGAGAUAACACUCUCAUCCUCAAUUCAGUCAGCAGCAAGGAUUCAGGCAAUUACUCCUGUGCUUUAAGUGGAGACAAGGAUCAUCCAUCACCUGCAGUGACUCUCAUUGUGAGAUAUGCUCCAAGGAAUGUGUCAGUAUCACUGAGUCCCUCUGGUAACAUAGUGGAGGGUGAUUCAGUGACUCUGACCUGCAGCAGUGAUGCCGAC